rnacentral:rRNA from 1 species
UACGUAGGUCCCGAGCGUUGUCCGGAAUUACUGGGUAUAAAGGGUGCGCAGGCGGUCUUGUGCGUCAGAAGUGAAAUAUCACGGCUCAACCGUGAGGGUGCUUUUGAUACGGCAAGACUUGAGUACGGGAGAGGAUGAUGGAAUUCCUGGUGUAGCAGUGAAAUGCGUAGAUAUCAGGAGGAACACCGGUGGCGAAGGCGGUCAUCUGGCCCGGUACUGACGCUCAGGCACGAAAGUGUGGGUAGCGAACAGG